ensembl:lncRNA
AGGAGCUGGAAGCUCGGGUCCCAGAAGGUCAGCAUCUCUUUGAAAACCUCCUUCGUCUUGGACCAGCGAGGGGGUCUUUGGAUGAGCUGGAGGAUCUGCGCUACCGGUGGAUGCUGUACAAGUCCAAACUCAAGGACUCCAGCCUCCUGCUGACGGGGAGUUCUCCAGGGGAGCCGACUGGAUUCCAAAAGACUCCACGGGGGCGAGGGCUGGGCGCCUUCUGCCGGAAGGUGUGCUGCGUGGCGCUCCCCCUGCAGCUGCUGCUGCUGCUGCUGCUCCUGCUGCUCUUCCUGCUCCCCGUCGGGGAGGAGCAUCGCAGCUGCUCGCUGGCCAACAACUUCGCCCGCUCCUUCAGGUUCAUGCUCCGCUACAACGGCCCCCCACCCACUUAGCCCCCCUGGACCACGCGGGCCACAUUCUUCUCCAAACUUCCAUCAGCCCCGGGGCUCCUCCAGAGGAUGCGGGGGAAACUGGAAACAGGGCAAGCGGAGCCCGCGGAGCUGCAUCCAUGUAAAUACUGUAUCUGUGGUCUUCAAAAGAAUGUUACUUUUAUACAAUACCCUCUUAGUCUGUUUAUACCAAAUGUGUACCCUGUGUGAUGAGGGGGUAAGGCACAGCAUUUUUAUACGCUCUGUGUGCACAUGCUCAGUCUGUAUAAUUUCAUAUAUGACCUCUAUUUGUCAUUGGGAAGAUUCCCAGCAGCGUACUUGUCCAUGGGAUCUUGUAGCCUUUUGGCUUUGGUCUGCAGUCAGCCCUGGAAAGCAGGAGCAACAACAUGUCGCUUUUCCAGCCACCUCCUCCCAUCCAAGAGGCAAGCUCCCCACCCAGAUGUUCUGGAAGAGGCUGCCGAGGUGUCAGCAUGCAAGAACAACACUGGCCCUCACUCAGAGCCCAGUAACUCUUGCUUUACGCACAGUGAGAACAGUCAUGCUCGUCUCGUCUUUAAAUUGACAAUGAAUUAGAUGCCGUGGAUUAGAGCGGAGAGGGUGCGGAUCCCGGGCAAGCUGAGUGACAGCAGUGAAAAGUGGCACGUGAUAGAGCGAGGUUAGGGAGGAAAAGAACCCCAGAGAGAAGACCCGGCACUAAGCAAGCACCGCAGAACAUGGGGACAUCAAGUGCAAGGGGCCCGGACAGCGCGGACCAGCGAUGAACGUCCAAGGUCGGGAUGCCGAGUCUUCAGGAAGUGGUUAGCUUGAGCUCCGUGUGUUGUUUGCCCUGUUCAGGGAGAAUGUGACAGAGAGACAUCAUAUGGUUAAGAUUUUGAUCCCCAAGGGUAAGCAGUCCGUGCACCACCCACCUGACAUGCCCGCCAAGAUGUGUCACCUCCGUCGCUCUUUGGCUGAGUUUUUUUCAUCAUCUAAGACUCAGGUUGAAGGGACAGAGGGGAGCAUCUGCCGCAUCAGGGACCAGGGCUCGAGGGUCCAAGGCAGAGAGGAGAGGUCCGCCCUGGAGCUGAGCCUGUCUGUCCCUCCUCCUCCAGAAGGGACUUUGGAGAGAGGUGGGUCCUCUGGGCCAAGAAUGUCCCACCUGUGCACCCACAAGGGACCCAGGUCCCUGUUGAGCGGGGCGUGGCAGUCAGGCCCACAGACCGCUUGCGCUUUGAGGCUGGAACUGCCUUCCUCCCCCCAGGGAAUUAGCAACAGUUCCUAAGUGCUUCAUAACUGGAUCUUAUUUUCCCCAAAUCGACACUAGUUUUCCUUUUUAAAAAAUGCUGGAGCUCUCCUUGUGGCUCUCAGUCGGUUAAGAACCUGACUAGUAUCCCUGAGGAUGCGGGUUCGAUCCCCAGCCUCACUCAGUGGAUUAAGGAACGGGUGUAGCGCUGCCGGGUGGGAGUGUCUACGUAUAUUUUUUAAACGUUGACAAUGAUGCCAUAGAGCUUGUUGGCAUAACUUUUUUUUUUUAAAAAAAGAAUUGAUAUUUUCAUACUUUCAUGCAAAUACUGUUGCGACAUAACAACCACUGACGGUGCUUUUCAACUGUAAUCUCUUUUGCUUAACGUGGGUGCAGGCAGGUAUGAUUUUUAUGAUUUUCUAGCUUCCCGAGCGCCAACUGGAAGAGCUUUAAAGUGCCUUUUGAGAAAGGGGUCACAGAGGGACCUUGCUAUGUAUAUUUUUCCUCUGUGGCCCCAGAGCAGGGAAGGUGGUGAGACGUGUGACCAUUACUGCCCAGUCCCAGUCUAUGUCUAUGCAUGCGUGUGUGUGUGUGUGUGUGUGUGUGUGUGUGUGUGUGUGUGUGUGUCAGAGACAGAGGAAGGGAAAAGAGAGAGGAGGGGAGAGAGUAAGAGAGUUGGGGCAGGAGAGAGAGAGAAAAAGAGGAAGGGAGAGAGAGAGAGAGAGAGAGAGAGAGCUAGAGGGGAUGGGAAGAGGGCAGAGAGGAGGAGAGAAACGCCCUGGGCCUGAUGGAAAAGCUGCUGGUCCCCCUCCUUUGCUGUGUCUCUCGCCGAGUCCACUAAGGGAGCCCCGAGAGUGGCUGUGCCUGGGGCACUGUGGGGGUGCAGAGAGGUCCCUGCCUGCUCCAAAUCCUGAGAUGCCUGUGGCAUCCUUUGAAGUCUGUUACCCGAGUGUCUCACUGGUGGCAGCCAGUGACCCCCAGCGAGCCUCCUGUGUCCCCAGGUCCCGAUCAUGCCCUAAUUCCCACGCUCAAGGGGACUCAGCGAAUGGAGCAGGGGCUCCCCCCAACUUCCCUCACCCCAGUAGGAUUGUCACCCGGCUGGCUCAGCAGCAGAGGAGGGGGGUGAGGCCAUGAACUGGAAGCGCAGGCCCAGCAUUAAGUAGGCAGCAUCCGCGCCCGUGACCGCCUCCGCGGCAGACCCGGAUGAGCGCAGCGAGCCCUUCCCCGCCCCCUCUCCAGCCCCAGUGGACUUCGCAGUCCUCACUGAAAGUCGGUCCAGGCAGCUACUGCCAAUCGAUCACAUUUGUCAUGUGAGAAAAACCUCUUUGACAUCCUUGUACCCAAUCCCAGCCCCCUCAGAAAAUUCUGGCCUCUUCCUUUAAAAAAAAAAUUCUAAAAUUAGGGUUCCCCAAUCAUCUCCCUCAGUGUAGGACUGGGAGACACGAACUAAGGCAGGAAGGCAGGAAGGCAGGAAAUAGGCUAAAUUACCACAUAGGGCAUUUAGGGAAAGCAAAAUGGAGCAGCACAUGCUACAUGACCGGUGUUUUUUUUAUCUUUUUUGUCUUUUUUGCCAUUUCUUGGGUCGCUCCCGCGGCACAUGGAGGUUCCCAGGCUAGGGGUUGAAUCGGAGCUGUAGUCACCAGCCUACACCACAGCCACAGCAGCACCAGAUCUGAGCCGCUGUCUGUGACCUACACCAGAGCUCACGGCAAUGCUGGAUCCUCAACCCACUGAGCGAGGCCAGGGAUCGAACCCGCAACCUCAUGGUUCCUAGUCGGAUUCGUUAACCACUGCGCCACGACGGGAACUCCCGAUGACCGGUGUUUUUACAGACCAUCUUGGUCCAACCUCGUACCCCUUUUACAUGUGAGGAAAUUGAGGUGCUGACAGCUGCUGUUCACUUGGUGAAUUCAGGGAGUUCCUUCCAGAGGCGGGAGUAGAUCUCUGCACCCAGUGGGUGACAGAGUGACACUGCUCAGGCUGACCAGGGUGGAGAGGGAGCUCUGCUGUUAAGAGAUGGGGGACCUUGGGGGAGCCCCCUGCCCCCUCCCCGCCAGCCACUGGUAAAGGGGAUAUUAGCCCUAGCAUCUUCAGGGCUGCCUGAAAUAUUAGAUAUUUGGAGAAGGUGAUGGUGGACUUCCGUCUGGUGCAGAACCCCUAGAUUCAGCCACAAGUGUCAGAAGCCACCCCCCCGCCCCGCAACCUUGACUUAAACAAAUCAGGGCAUUGCUCUUCCCUUAUCCUGAGAGGUCAAGAGCCAAGCAGUUGUUAGCAUCAUUUUCUCAACUCUAGAAUGUCAGGACCAAGGUUCUGCAGCUCUCUUUUCUUUUCCUUGUGGUUACCUCAUGGCCCAAGAUGCUUGCUCUACCUCCGGAUUUUUCAUCUGAGUUCCAGGUUGGAAGAAGGAGAAUGGGCUGGGUGAACCGGCUCAACUUUUCAGCUUUCCCAGAAACUCUGCCCAGAUACUUGUGUUGACCUCUCAUUGGUCAGACCUGUGUCACAUGGUUCCUCUCCAUCUGCCAGGAGUCUGGAAACUUGUCCCCCCACAAAAUGAGCAUCUUUUAGCAAGAAGGAAGGAUUGGGGUGGCACUUAGAUGUCUCUGCUGCAGCCAUCCUGAUCCUCUGUGUCUUGAUCUCAUGUUCCGUCAGCUGAACUUGGAGGCAUUUAUCAUUGAGGCGUGAGAAAGGUCUUCCACCACUGCCUCCCCAGAGUCCCUCCCCCUCCCCAAGGUGCCACAGCCAGACAAGGCCCACCUUCUUACAAGACUUCAAAUAAAUCAGGUUCCUUUCUUGGUCAGACUAUAUGCGGGGGCAGCCCUCCCAUCCCAUCCUGACCGUGUAGACCCAAGGAUAAAUUUUUUAACACUCUUGUGUUUGGAUUCAGCCCAGGAAAUGUAUAUUUGCUUUAAUUUCUUCUGGAACAUGAGUUACUCCUGGGUGCAAAUCCUGGAAAGAGAGUCUCUCUGAGCUUUUCCAGGCUGGUCUCCCAUUUUUCAGCAGACCGUGGAGGCCUCAAAAGCAUUAGGCUAGCAGAGCCCAUGGCGCCUCCAGCAGAAGAUGAGAUUCAAAGGACUUAAACCAUCAUUUCUCCCUUGGUUUCAAUUGCAAGAGAAAGGCUUCUUGUCUGUCAUAUUAGAAAAGGGGGGAAUUCAUUUUUAAAAGGAAAUUAAAAAGACAAAAGCUUACGGUUUAAAAACAGAUCAUAAGGCAGAGUACCCAGAGCCUUAAAGAACAGUCAGCCCAUUCCACAUCCUCCAGUGGUUGUCAUGGUAACGUCACAGCUGCUAACAGGUUGGUACCCAACCACCUUGGGCAGACAGGGGAGAGUAAUCAUACAGAGGGACCACGGCUUCUCCGAAGGGUCCUGGGCUUGCUUUCAGGAAUCCCUACUUCUGAGCUCAGCAACCAGAGCAAGGCUGGCAGCCCUGUCCUGUUGGAAAUGGGAGAGAAGAAACACAUUGAGAACAGACCAGGUGGCCCUAAUUCCUUCCCAAAGCGCAUGGCAUCACAGCCUUGUUUUUAGACCCUGAAACCAGAGUACGGGGAAGGUUAGCAGCCUGCCCAUAAGCAGCCAGCUUGGGCAAGCAGUCAGUUUGGGACGUGAACCCAGGGGUGAUGGGAUCCAGGCGUCUCCACGGAAAUUCACCUCCAGCUUCUUUUCUUUCCCUGGCAGGCCCCAGGCUGCCGCUGCUUUGGCAGCUGGUUAGCUGGGUAGGGGUGACAUCCCACAGCAGGGUCUGCGGGAAUUCUUUCUGGUGCCCAGUCCCCCAGGGAGCUGGCACCACCAAGGCGACAUGCUGGGGGACAGAGGCAGGUGCCUGCCUUCCCUGGAAAAAAUAGAAACAGACCACCUUGUAUAUAGGCAGCGCCACCUCUUGUGCAGGACAGGGUCGGCUUUGUGACACUUCUGCCUCUGGAACAGUUCUGAUGCCUUCACUGGAGGGAAAAAAAGAGGCAUUGUCUCUCCAGAGGUAGUGGCCUUACAUGUUCUAGAAGUUCUAUGGGUGAGGAAAAAAUGGACAGAGUAAGUUCUGUGUGAAUGUGGUGUAUGUGCGUGUGUGUGUGUGCACUCUUGUGCACGCGUGUGUGUGCUUGCCUGUGUGUGCCUACACUACAUGCUUAUCUCCACCUGCUAGCACAGCUGCGCAGCCCUUGUUCUCAUCCCUGGGCUUGUGGACAACAGACACCACCAGCCUGGGGUCUCUGGGAACCUCAGGACAUUUCCUGAUUCCAGCUUUUAUGCCUCUCAUAGGAGCAACUGGUUUCCGCACCCCACCCCUCACCGCUGUUCCCCACACAAAGGGAAGGUCUGUUGACCCCUGAGAUCUCUGCCAACUGGAAACUCCCUCAGGCUGGUUCAGAAACAAGUGCUCUCUUUCUCAGGCCAGCAUCUCUCUUUCUCAGGCCAGUGUCUCUCUUUCUCAGGCCAGCAUCUCUCUUUCUCAGGCCAGCAUCUCUCUUUCUCAGGCCAGCGUCUCUCUUUCUCAGGCCAGCGUAUGACCUGGACCUGCUCGUGGAGGAGGACUUAGCCCCAGGGGAGCUGGUUUGCCCCUUUCUCUCCCUCUCUCUCUCUGUCUGUCUGUGUGUUUCAGAAAUCAAUGAUGUUCAAAUAUGCUAAAGACCCAGGGUUUGAUCAUUUAACAGCUCGCAGUUAAAUACACCUCGGGUCCUGUCCAUUUCCCUGCUCUCGACCACUGUUUAUUAAAACAGUCUUGAUGGUUCCCUAUCUCCUUAUGGUCUAAAUGUAUGUGAGUGAGGAAUUACAGCUCUACAUUCUCCUUUGUGUCGAAUUUUGUAGGACUUGGUUGAGGAAGUGUCAGCUUUUAUUCGUUUCAUUUUUUCAUUUAUAUUUAUUCCAUGUUUUCCUCCAGAAAACGUUGAAGGCAAGAUUUGAAUGUGUACAUGGGCAGCGCGAGGAUUGUGAGGGUAGAAAUAGCUUGUUUCUUGAUGUGCGUAAUAUAUUUUUAACCAAUAAGUGGAUUGGCUAAUGUAAAAAAUAUAUAUACCCAGUGCCCCAGAAGGGAGGGCGGGAGAGAGGGGGGAAGGAAGGGGGAGGGGGAGGGAAACCAGUGACAGUUCGGUGAAUUUGCUCAGCACCCAAGGUGCCCGAAGCAGGAAAAGUGGCAGGUUUAGGACACCAGCGCUGGAGAAAUGACUACUCUUCUCCUCCAUUUCAAGUCGAGGAGAUAAGCCCUGUCAUCCCGAAGCAGGUCAGCCUGAUGGAUUUGUUAGUUUCUCUCAUCUCCUUUCCCCAGGGGGGGUGUGUGGGGGGGUGGGCUUGGGAACCAGAGGGCCCCUCGCCUCCCCAGGACCCCACGUGGAGGCAGCAGCCACCUUCCUGCUUCACCUUCAGUCAGGUCCACAGAGCCCAAGUCACCCCAUCUUUCCCUCAAAGCCCUGGCGACACUAACGGCAUCCUGACCCACUGUUCCUGGGGCAACACACAGGUGGUCUGGUUAACACACGGGUGAGCCUGGGGGCGGGGGGCAUGGAGGAGGGUGUGGGUGUGGGUGGGUGUGAGUGCGUGUCGAUGCCAUGUCUGCGGGUUUGGUGUCAAAAGCGUACUAACCUCAUUGUGGAAAAUGUUCUUUAUGUAAACAGUAGGCACAGGGACCAUCCCACUCCCGCCAUAGUGUCUGUGAUUGUGAAACACGCGUGUGGCAUAAAUCAAGCUUUCUGGGAAGGCAAGCGGAGUGGGAGCCAAAUGGCUGUUUUGGACCACGUGUGUGUUAUCUGGGUUCAUAUCAAGUCCAAAACCGGCCGCGCGCAUCCUUCCCGCCUCUCUGCUCAGGAGGGAGGAGCUCCAGCCUGUCCACUACCCUCUCGACGCUGCCUUUUAAAGUCACGGGACGUUUCCUUCCCCUUCUUCUUGUUCGCGUUGGAAGCAGCCGUGUUCUCAGAGAUGGUUUGACAUGUUUGCUCUUCGCUUUAUGUUUUCCAAGAUGUUAUCUGCUUUAUGUUUGGAAAUAAAAAAAUCUCUAUUUUGGUCUAUG